rnacentral:rRNA from 1 species
UCGAACGAGAUGAUACUAGUGUUGGAGGGUUUCCGCCCUUCAGUGCUGCAGCUAACGCAUUAAGUAAUCCGCCUGGGGAGUACGACCGCAAGGUUGAAACUCAAAAGAAUUGACGGGGGCCCGCACAAGCGGUGGAGCAUGUGGUUUAAUUCGAAGCUACGCGAAGAACCUUACCAGGUCUUGACAUCUUCUGACAGUCUAAGAGAUUAGAGGUUCCCUUCGGGGACAGAAUGACAGGUGGUGCAUGGUUGUCGUCAGCUCGUGUCGUGAGAUGUUGGGUUAAGUCCCGCAACGAGCGCAACCCUUAUUACUAGUUGCCAGCAUUAAGUUGGGCACUCUAGUGAGACUGCCGGUGACAAACCGGAGGAAGGUGGGGACGACGUCAAAUCAUCAUGCCCCUUAUGACCUGGGCUACACACGUGCUACAAUGGAUGGUACAACGAGUCGCGAAACCGCGAGGUUAAGCUAAUCUCUUAAAACCAUUCUCAGUUCGGACUGUAGGCUGCAACUCGCCUACACGAAGUCGGAAUCGCUAGUAAUCGCGGAUCAGCAUGCCGCGGUGAAUACGUUCCCGGGCCUUGUACACACCGCCCGUCACACCAUGAGAGUUUGUAACACCCAAAGCCGGUGGGGUAACCUUUUAGGAGCUAGCCGUCUAAGGUGGGACAGAUGAUUAGGGUGAAGUCGUCAAAGGGGUAACAAAAAGGGAAAAAAAAAAAAGCCCCCGGGUUAAAAGCUUUGGGGUUUGG